rnacentral:rRNA from 1 species
GUACAAAGGUAGCAUAAUAAGUUGUUUUUUAAUUAAAGACUGGAAUGAAAGAAUUGAUGAAAUUUAAACUUUCUAAAAUUUAAAAUUUAAAUUUUUUUAUUAAGUAAAAAGACUUAAAUUGAUUUAUGGGACGAGAAGACCCUAUAGAAUUUUAUAUAGUUUAUUUUAAAAUUUUAUUUAAACUAUAUUUAGUUGGGAGGACUAUUAAAACUUAAAACUUUAAUAUAUUUAAAAUAUUACUUUGAUAAAAGGAAUUUAAAAAUUAAUAAUUUAUAAUUAAUUUAAUAUUAAUUACCUUAGGGAUAACAGCAUAAUAUUUUUUUUUAGAUCAUAUAUAAAAAAUUGUUUAUGACCUCGAUGUUGAAAUUAAGAUAAAAUUUGAAAGGAGAUUUUUAAAUUUUUGGU